UACAGAGGUGGCAAGCGUUGUUCGGAAUUACUGGGCGUAAAGGGCGCGUAGGCGGCCUACUAAGUCAGACGUGAAAUCCCCCCGGCUUAACCUGGGAACUGCGUCUGAUACUGGAAGGCUUGAGGAUGGGAGAGGGAUGUAGAAUUCCAGGUGUAGCGGUGAAAUGCGUAGAGAUGUGGAGGAACACCGAUGGCGAAGGCAGCCCCCUGGGUCAAGAUUGACGCUCAUGCACGAAAGCGUGGGGAGCAAACAGG
rnacentral:rRNA from 1 species